ensembl:lncRNA
UUCUUAUUUUAUGAGUUUUAAUGCAUUCAUUUUAGUUUCUUGCUAUGGUAAAGUCUUUAAAGGUUGCAUGUCAGAAAUGCGCAUAGAAGAAUGUCAAUCUUGCAUGGAUUCUGUAGAUGGAGAUAGUGUUUUAUGACCUGAGCCUGGGACGGAACGACAGGGACAAGUCUCAUCCUGCAUCUGCAGCUUUCAUUUAAUUAGGUCCUCAUUGCAGCAUCUUUGUCCAGACGGCACCUUAGCUCCAUGCCCAUCGGGUUGCUCCCAGCUCACAGGACAGAAUAAUCUUCAGGGCAUGGAAACCUGCAGAGAACAUCUGCUGGAUCUUCAUGUCUCUAUGACAAAGGUGAAAUCUUCAUCUGUGGUGCAGAGCUGCUUGGAGAGCAGAGGGCUUUGAGCUGAGCACAACCCUGCCCAACCACACUGUCCUCCGUAGAGCAUGAAGAUGGGGACAAUGCAUGCAGAUAUGUUGUGGAAGGACCCACAUCUGUGUUCUGCUCCCACGAGCAGGGCAGGAGCUGCCAGCAGGGAAGAAGGGGCUCUGUGCUGUGCACACGGGAUGACUUCAAUGGGUUCCUGGGCGUUUUCCAUGACUGCGU